rnacentral:rRNA from 1 species
AUUGAACGCUGGCGGCAGGCUUAACACAUGCAAGUCGAGCGGGGAAAGGUAGCUUGCUACCUGACCUAGCGGCGGACGGGUGAGUAAUGCUUAGGAAUCUGCCUAUUAGUGGGGGACAACAUCUCGAAAGGGAUGCUAAUACCGCAUACGUCCUACGGGAGAAAGCAGGGGACCUUCGGGCCUUGCGCUAAUAGAUGAGCCUAAGUCGGAUUAGCUAGUUGGUGGGGUAAAGGCCUACCAAGGCGACGAUCUGUAGCGGGUCUGAGAGGAUGAUCCGCCACACUGGGACUGAGACACGGCCCAGACUCCUACGGGAGGCAGCAGUGGGGAAUAUUGGACAAUGGGGGGAACCCUGAUCCAGCCAUGCCGCGUGUGUGAAGAAGGCCUCUUGGUUGUAAAGCACUUUAAGCGAGGAGGAGGCUACCGAGAUUAAUACUCUUGGAUAGUGGACGUUACUCGCAGAAUAAGCACCGGCUAACUCUGUG